rnacentral:rRNA from 1 species
UGCGCAGGCGGUUCGCUAAGACCGAUGUGAAAUCCCCGGGCUUAACCUGGGAACUGCAUUGGUGACUGGCGGGCUAGAGUAUGGCAGAGGGGGGUAGAAUUCCACGUGUAGCAGUGAAAUGCGUAGAGAUGUGGAGGAAUACCGAUGGCGAAGGCAGCCCCCUGGGCCAAUACUGACGCUCAUGCACGAAAGCGUGGGGAGCAAACA